rnacentral:rRNA from 3 species
UUGACCUCAAAUCAGGUAGGACUACCCGCUGAACUUAAGCAUAUCAAUAAGCGGAGGAAAAGAAACUAACAAGGAUUCCCCUAGUAACUGCGAGUGAAGCGGGAAGAGCUCAAAUUUAAAAUCUGGCGGUUCUUGACCGUCCGAGUUGUAAUCUAGAGAAGUGUUACCCGUGCUGGACCGUGUACAAGUCUCCUGGAAUGGAGCAUCAUAGAGGGUGAGAAUCCCGUCUUUGACAUGGACUGCCUGCACGUCUUGGUGCGCUCUCGAAGAGUCGAGUUGUUUGGGAAUGCAGCUCAAAAUGGGUGGUAAAUGCCAUCUAAAGCUAAAUAUUGGCGAGAGACCGAUAGCGAACAAGUACCGUGAGGGAAAGAUGAAAAGAACUUUGGAAAGAGAGUUAAACAGUACGUGAAAUUGCUGAAAGGGAAACGCUUGAAGUCAGUCGCGUUGGCUAGAAAUCAGCCUUGCUUUUGCUUGGUGUACUUUCUUGUUGACGGGUCAGCAUCAGUUUCGACCGCUGGAUAAGGAUUUUGGGAAUGUGGCAUCCUUGGAUGUGUUAUAGCCCAUUGUCGCAUGCAGUGGUGGGGAUUGAGGAACUCAGCACGCCGCAAGGCCGGGUCUCUGACCACGCUCGUGCUUAGGAUGCUGGCAUAAUGGCUUUAAUCGACCCGUC